rnacentral:rRNA from 1 species
UACAGAGGGUGCGAGCGUUAAUCGGAAUUACUGGGCGUAAAGCGCACGUAGGCGGCUUGGUAUGUCGGGUGUGAAAUCCCCGGGCUCAACCUGGGAACUGCAUCCGAAACUGCCUUGCUAGAGUAUGGGAGAGGGAAGUGGAAUUUCCGGUGUAGCGGUGAAAUGCGUAGAGAUGUGGAGGAACACCAGUGGCGAAGGCGACUCUUUGGUCUGUAACUGACGCUGAGGCGCGAAAGCGUGGGGAGCAAACAGG